UCAGCUCGUGUCGUGAGAUGUUGGUUAGUCCGCAACGAGCGCAACCCCUACUUGUUAGUUGCCAUCAUUCAGUUGGGCACUCUAGCGAGACUGCCGGUAAUAAACCGGAGGAAGGUGGGGAUGACGUCAAAUCAUCAUGCCCCUUAUGACCUGGGCUACACACGUGCUACAAUGGUUGGUACAACGAGUUGCGAGUCGGUGACGGCGAGCUAAUCUCUUAAAGCCAAUCUCAGUUCGGAUUGUAGGCUGCAACUCGCCUACAUGAAGUCGGAAUCGCUAGUAAUCGCGGAUCAGCACGCCGCGGUGAAUACGUUCCCGGGCCUU
rnacentral:rRNA from 1 species